ACUCACGCUUGCGGCGUGCUUCACCCCUGCCAGUCGAACGGAAAGGCCCUGCUUUUGUGGGGUGCUCGAGUGGCGAACGGGUGAGUAACACGUGAGUAACCUGCCCUUGACUUUGGGAUAACUUCAGGAAACUGGGGCUAAUACCGGAUAGGAGCUCCUGCUGCCUGGUGGGGGUUGGAAAGUUUCGGCGGUUGGGGAUGGACUCGCGGGUUAUCAGCUUGCUGGUGGGGUAGUGGUUUACCAAGGCUUUGCCGGGUAGCCGGCCCUAGAAGGCGGACGGGCACCAUGGGACUGAGGGACGGACCAGACUCCUACGGGAGGCAGCAGUGGGGAAUAUUGCACAAUGGGCGGAAGCCUGAUGCAGCAACGCCGCGUACGGGAUGACGGCCUUCGGGUUGUAAACCGCUUUCGCCUGUGACGAAGCGUGAGUGACGGUAAUGGGUAAAGAAGCACCGGCUAACUACGUG
rnacentral:rRNA from 1 species